rnacentral:rRNA from 1 species
GACGAACGCUGGCGGCGUGCUUAACACAUGCAAGUCGAACGGUGAAGGGACCAGCUUGCUGGUUCUGGAUGAGUGGCGAACGGGUGAGUAACACGUGGGUAACCUGCCCCCUUCUUCUGGAUAACCGCAUGAAAGUGUGGCUAAUACGGGAUAUUCUGGGUCUGUCGCAUGGCGGGCCCGGGAAAGAUAUUGCUUCGGUGGGGGAUGGGCUCGCGGCCUAUCAGCUUGUUGGUGGGGUGAUGGCCUACCAAGGCGGUGACGGGUAGCCGGCCUGAGAGGGUGGACGGUCACACUGGGACUGAGACACGGCCCAGACUCCUACGGGAGGCAGCAGUGGGGAAUAUUGCACAAUGGGCGCAAGCCUGAUGCAGCGACGCCGCGUGAGGGAGGGAGGCCUUCGGGUUGUAAACCUCUUUCGCCAGUGAAGCAGGCCUGCUCCUUGUGGGUGGGUUGACGGUAGCUGGAGAAGAAGCGCCGGCUAACUACGUG